AUAUUGGCUCUAAAUUAUGUACAUAUCGCCCGUCGCUCUCAUUAUGAAAGAUGAGAUAAGUCGUAACAUAGUAGAUUUACUGGAAAGUGAAUCUAGUCAGAAAUAUAUAAUAAAUCUUGUUUAUUAAUUAGUAUCUGUUAUUAAUAUUAAGAAAAGUAAUUUAAAAGUAAAAGAGUAAGUAAUUUUUAAUAAAAUCUUAGGUUGGACUAUAGGGUAUGGAGUACUGUGAAGGAAAGAAAAAAAAGAAUAUAAUAUAAGUAUAUAUAAAUAAUUGUACCUUUAGUAUCAGGGAUAAUUAAAAUCAUCUAAUUAACAUUAGACAUCUCGAAAAAAAAACAGUUAAUUUUAUAAAUAAGUUUUUGUAGAAGAAAAAUUUACAAUUUAGAAUUAAAGGUGAAAAACUAAUCGAGUAUUUUUAUAUCUAGUUUCUUAGGAAAUAAAUUUAAUUUGAAAAUUAAGUAAUAAAAUUUAUUUAAUGUUUAAUAAUAGGAGGGAUUAGCUUCUUAUUUGAACAAUAUCAGUCAAUAAAAUAUCAUUAUGCUAAGCCUAAAAGUAGCUACGCAUAAAGUAUGUUAUAACAUAUGUGUUAAUAAAUAUAAUUAUUUGGGUAAUUGAUUUGGGUUGAAGUACUAAGAUAUUAAAAUUAAACUAAUAAGUUAAAUAAAAAAUGAUUAUAUUAGUAUAAUUAUUUAUGUUAUAAAAAUAGACUAUUUAUGAUAAGUAAAUAUAAUAAAAGAUGGGUGAGUGUUAAGGAAUUCGGCAAAAAGUUCUUCUGCCUGUUUAUCAAAAACAUGUCUAUUUGAAAGAUUUAAAUAGUCGGGCCUGCUCACUGAUAUGAAGAUUUAAAGAGCCGCGGUAUUCUGACCGUGCAAAGGUAGCAUAAUCAUUAGUUUCUUAAUUGGGAACUGGUAUGAAUGGUUUGACAAGAAGAAAACUGUCUUGAUCACAGAAAUUGAAUUUAACUUUUAAGUGAAAAGGCUUAAAUAGUUUAGGGGGACGAUAAGACCCUAUAAAGCUUUAUAUAAAGGUUAAUAUUUAUUAAAUUAAGGUAAUAAAAAUUUAUAUUGAUUAUUAUAUUAUAUUGGGGCGAUAUAAGUAUAAUUUAUUAUAACUGCUUAGUGCAAAAAACACAAUAUCAGUGUUUAAAUAUAAAAGAUCCUAUAAUAUAGAUUGACAGUUUAAGUUACUUUAGGGAUAACAGCGUUAUUUCUUUUGAGAGUUCAUAUCGAAAGAGAAGUUUGCGACCUCGAUGUUGAAUUAAAAUUUCUAUAUAAUGCAGCCGUUAUAUAUGAAGGUCUGUUCGACCUUUAAAAUUUUACAUGAUUUGAGUUCAGACCGGCGUGAGCCAGGUCGGUUUCUAUCUCCUAAUAAUAAAAAAAUAAUUUUAGUACGAAAGGAUUAAAUUAUUGAAAUUUUUUUAAUAAAAUGUAAUAAAGUAAGCAUAUUGCUAUAAUUUAUUUAUAUAUCUAUUUCUAUCUUUAGAUAAUAAAGAGUAUAA
rnacentral:rRNA from 1 species